GGUGAGUAACACGUGGGCAAUCUGCCCUGCACUCUGGGACAAGCCCUGGAAACGGGGUCUAAUACCGGAUACUGAUCCUCGCAGGCAUCUGCGAGGUUCGAAAGCUCCGGCGGUGCAGGAUGAGCCCGCGGCCUAUCAGCUAGUUGGUGAGGUAACGGCUCACCAAGGCGACGACGGGUAGCCGGCCUGAGAGGGCGACCGGCCACACUGGGACUGAGACACGGCCCAGACUCCUACGGGAGGCAGCAGUGGGGAAUAUUGCACAAUGGGCGAAAGCCUGAUGCAGCGACGCCGCGUGAGGGAUGACGGCCUUCGGGUUGUAAACCUCUUUCAGCAGGGAAGAAGCGAAAGUGACGGUACCUGCAGAAGAAGCGCCGGCUAACUACGUGCCAGCAGCCGCGGUAAUACGUAGGGCGCAAGCGUUGUCCGGAAUUAUUGGGCGUAAAGAGCUCGUAGGCGGCUUGUCACGUCGGUUGUGAAAGCCCGGGGCUUAACCCCGGGUCUGCAGUCGAUACGGGCAGGCUAGAGUUCGGUAGGGGAGAUCGGAAUUCCUGGUGUAGCGGUGAAAUGCGCAGAUAUCAGGAGGAACACCGGUGGCGAAGGCGGAUCUCUGGGCCGAUACUGACGCUGAGGAGCGAAAG
rnacentral:rRNA from 1 species